rnacentral:pre_miRNA from 1 species
GCUUAUGAAUGGGCAAGGAAAGUGGUUUCUUGAUACAGAAUCUACUCCCUGUGAAGAUGCUGUGAA